GAAUCCCGUCUUUGACAUGGACUGCCAGUGCCUAAUAGGUGCGCUCUCGAAGAGUCGAGCUGUUUGGGAAUGCAGCUCAAAAUGGGUGGUAAAUGCCAUCUAAAGCUAAAUAUUGGCGAGAGACCGAUAGCGAACAAGUACCGUGAGGGAAAGAUGAAAAGAACUUUGGAAAGAGAGUUAAACAGUACGUGAAAUUGCUGAAAGGGAAACGCUUGAAGUCAGUCGCGUCGGGUCGGAAAUCAACCUCGCUUUUGCUGGGUGUACUUUCCGUCCGAUGGGCCAGCAUCGGUUUCGGUUGCUGGACAAAGUUCUUUGGGAAAGUGGCAUCCUCGGAUGUGUUAUAGCCCUUGGGACAUAUGCAGCGGUCGGGAUUGAGGAACUCAGCACGCCCGCGAGGGCUGGGGCUUUUGUCCACAUGAACGUGCUUAGGAUGCUGGCAUAAUGGCUUUAAUCGACCCGUCUUGAAACACGGACCAAGGAGUCUAACAUGCCUGCGAGUGUUUGGGUGAAAAACCCAUGCGCGCAAUGAAAGUGAAGGUUGAGAUCCCUGUCGUGGGGAGCAUCGACGCCCAGACCAGACCUUCUGUGACGGAUCUGCGGUAGAGCACGCAUGUUGGGACCCGAAAGAUGGUGAACUAUGCCUGAAUAGGGUGAAGCCAGAGGAAACUCUGGUGGAGGCUCGUAGCGAUUCUGACGUGCAAAUCGAUCGUCAAAUUUGGGUAUAGGGGCGAAAGACUAAUCGAACCAUCUAGUAGCUGGUUCCUGCC
rnacentral:rRNA from 1 species